GCCAUGGCGAAAAGUCAUUGUCAUUGUUAGGGGUCAUGACCCUAUAUGUGGGCUUGAUCUCCCGCACUCUGGCUUCGCCUGUUGGCUUGUGUGCGCACUUGGGACAUGAACGAUCAAGUACUUGCUCAGAAGCUGAGACUUCGAAAAACAGUAUGGUGCGAACCGGGUGGGCCCCUGGAUUCUCCUGACAUGCAGCCCAGAUGUUCCCCAUCUUCCUUUGCUGCUAGGGAUUGCUGUACCACUGCAGUCUGAAAACUCUCUGGGGAUAUAUGUGAAGCGGAGAUCAAUACCACUGCUUACAAAUAAUUUGGAAAUAAGAGCCAAGAAUGGAGGAAUAAGUCAAAGGUCAAGGCCAUCUGAUUUUUUCUUCUCAGGCAUUCACAACGACAACUAACCUAGUCAUCAGGCAUUUGCAGCAACAACUAUUUUGGUCCCUGCUGUUUUAUAUAUUUAUAUGAAAACUUGCAUAUGUGAUGCAAUAAAUUGAACCAUGUAUA
rnacentral:misc_RNA from 1 species